CCUUUGCCAUUGUUUAAAUCUCAUUUAGAUUUAAAAAUAAAAUAAAAAAUUGGGGUAGCGGAAGGGGAAAUGGAGAGGGAAUUACAAUGUGGAGAACCGAACCCUCGCCAACAACGCGGGAGUUCAGGUAGCCAAUCAACUGAGCUGCUAAGAUUCACCAAAUCGCGUUUAGAUGUUAUAAACAAAAUUACAAAAAAAAUUGUUUUCUUGUACUAAGAAGAUGAAAUGUAUUUGUUAAUCAAUUUAACAAAGACACUUUGGAUAUUUCUUUCCCACAACAACACAAUAAUAUUGACAAUGUAGCCAUUAAAUAGUUUUGUUUAGAGGGAAAUUAUUAGCUUUUGUGCUUUUUUUUUAUAUUAGUUUUCUCAUAUGUAGGUCGUUGAUCAAAUCAUAUCAAAAUAUUAUUUUCUUUUAAUAUGUUUUUCUUUAUCGUCUAAUUUAUCAUCAUCAAUGUGUUUGCAAUUACUAGCUUUCCACAUGUCGCAUUGAUUAUUUGGAUCCCAACAAGUUCUUGUUUACUUAUUUGUAUUCCGAAUCCUUCUUGAUUUUGCCACUAUAAUACUAAGCAUGAAAGAAUAAGUCUUGGUAUACAAAUUUAAUCAACAUGAUAAUACUCAACUUAGUACAUAAUUGUAUUUUCUUGAAUUAUAAGUAGAGUACAACACACACUCAUAGAAAUUACUUACUAACGGAUAUAUAAUGUGUACGCAAAUCUUAUCUCUAACUUGGAAGGUAGAGAGACUGUCUUCGAUAAUAAUGUGUACGUAGAUCUUACCUCUAACUCGAAAGGUAGAGAGACCGUCUUCGAUAAGCCUUAACUCAAUCAAAAAUAUAUAUUAAAGCAGUUGGAGAACACACAAUACAAUUAGUACAUACUCUUAACUAAUAAUUAGGAAGUAUAAUAUUUGCAAAUGUCAAGCAACUGAUCACCAAACUCACAACCUCUUUUGUAUACUAAGUUCAUAAUCAGGGGCGGAGCUACCCUUAUGCAAGAGGGUUUAUCCGAACCUUUACAUAUUUAUUUUUGAACUCUCUUAAUGAAAAUCCUGAUUGUCCAAAAUAAUUUUUAUAUAUUUAAUUUAUGUGGUUGUAAAUCAUUUUAUUAAGGAUAAAAAGAAAUUUUUAAAGUUAAAUUGUUUCUAAUUAUAAUAAAGUGACGUAAUUUUCAUCACCAAAGGAUGUGGUGCAGUGGAUGGACUGCUCUUCUCUUAACCAGAGAGGUCUCGGGUUUGAGUCCUGGGUAUGAAAAAAUCUUUGGUAAGGAGCGCUACCCCUCGAAUGGGGCUCUACUCGGCGCGAAUCUAGACUAGUGGGCUCCAAUGUGGAUAUCAGACAUCAGAUGGGAAACGAAAAAAAAAAAAAACCAUAAUUUUCGAUCGAGAUGGACAAAAAAAAGGGAUCGAUGUCAUAUAAAAUGGGACGAAAAGAGUACUAUUACUAUUGUAGAUUCACCCUUGAUUAACAUGUAUUUGAGAUUUUCAAUGUUGCGAUAAUUAAUAUUAUUUAAGAUUUCACAAUUUUAAUAUGGUAUCAGAGCAAACCAACCUUCAUUAGCCGCCUUAGGUAUAACGUUCACAGGGAUUUCUGGAAUUGAAAAUGGAAAUGCAGCAACCUGUAAGGAUAUUAUUAUUGGAAAAAUAGCCAAAGAAAGGCAAACCAACAGAAAUGUCUUGGAACUACAACUCAUUUUUCCUUUUUUUCUUUAAAGAUUAAUUAGUAUUUUAU
rnacentral:lncRNA from 1 species